AUUGAACGCUGGCGGCAGGCCUAACACAUGCAAGUCGAACGAGUGGCGGACGGGUGAGUAAUGUCUGGGAAACUGCCCGAUGGAGGGGGAUAAAUACUGGAAACGGUAGCUAAUACCGCAUACCAUCGGAUGUGCCCAGAUGGGAUUAGUGCGGGGGUGGGGUAACGGCUAACAUAGGCGACGAUCCCUAGCUGGUCUGAGAGGAGGACCAGCCAAACUGGAACUGAGACACGGACCAGACUCCUACGGUAGGCAGCAGUGGGGAAUAUUGCACAAUGGGCGCAAGCCUGAUGCAGCCAUGCCGCGUGUAUUAAGAAGGCCUUCGGGUUGUAAAGUACUUUCAGCGAGGAGGCGUUACUCGCAGAAGAAGCACCGGCUAACUCCGUGCCAGCAGCCGCGGUAAUUC
rnacentral:rRNA from 1 species